GUUUCUUGGCCAUUUUUCCGCUGGGGGGUCUUGGGACCCCGACCUUCGGGGGCUGAUUUUUGGGCGCGGCUGUGCCCGUGGCCUAUUUUUGGCACACGGAGGCCGCCCGCCAAGUCUGGGGCCAUUCCGAGUCCGGCGGACGAACUUCGCCCACGCCCCCCACCAAGGCUAUAGCCCACCCGUUUUUUGGCCAUUUUUCCGCUGGGGGGUCUUGGGACCCCGACCUUCGGGGGCUGAUUUUUGGGCGCGGCUGUGCCCGUGGCCUAUUUUUGGCACACGGAGGCCGCCCGCCAAGUCUGGGGCCAUUCCGAGUCCGGCGGACGAACUUCGCCCACGCCCCCCACCAAGGCUAUAGCCCACCCGUUUUUUGGCCAUUUUUCCGCUGGGGGGUCUUGGGACCCCGACCUUCGGGGGCUGAUUUUUGGGCGCGGCUGUGCCCGUGGCCUAUUUUUGGCACACGGAGGCCGCCCGCCAAGUCUGGGGCCAUUCCGAGUC
rnacentral:lncRNA from 1 species